rnacentral:rRNA from 1 species
GAGUUUGAUCAUGGCUCAGGAUGAACGCUAGCGGGAGGCUUAACACAUGCAAGUCGAGGGGCAGCACGAGGUAGCAAUACUUUGGUGGCGACCGGCAGACGGGUGAGUAACGCGUAUGUAACCUACCCUGUACUGGGGGAUAACCCGGAGAAAUUCGGACUAAUACCCCAUAGAGAUAUAGAGAGGCAUCUUGAAAUAUUUAAAGUUUCGACGGUACGGGAUGGGCAUGCGUAACAUUAGCUAGUUGGUAAGGUAACGGCUUACCAAGGCUUUGAUGUUUAGGGGUCCUGAGAGGGUGAUCCCCCACACUGGUACUGAGACACGGACCAGACUCCUACGGGAGGCAGCAGUGAGGAAUAUUGGUCAAUGGGCGAAAGCCUGAACCAGCCAUCCCGCGUGCAGGAAGACGGCCCUAUGGGUUGUAAACUGCUUUUCCAGGAGGAGAAACUCUCGUACGUGAUACGGGAUUGACGGUACCCUGGGAAUAAGCAUCGGCUAACUCCGUGCCAGCAGCCGCGGUAAUACGGAGGAUGCAAGCGUUAUCCGGAUUUAUUGGGUUUGAAGGGUGCGUAGGCGGGAUAAUAAGUCAGAGGUGAAAUCUCCCGGCUUAACCGGGAAACUGUCUUUGAUACUGU